rnacentral:rRNA from 1 species
GCUAAGAGUGCAAAUGUUGGCGGCUUAGUGGCGGACGGGUGAGUAACGCGUGGGUAACCUGCCAUAUACAGGGGGAUAACACUUAGAAAUAGGUGCUAAUACCGCAUAAGCGCACGGAGCUGCAUGGCUCAGUGUGAAAAACUCCGGUGGUAUAUGAUGGACCCGCGUCUGAUUAGCUUGUUGGCGGGGUAACGGCCCACCAAGGCGACGAUCAGUAGCCGGCCUGAGAGGGUGGACGGCCACAUUGGGACUGAGACACGGCCCAAACUCCUACGGGAGGCAGCAGUGGGGAAUAUUGGACAAUGGGGGGAACCCUGAUCCAGCGACGCCGCGUGAGUGAAGAAGUAUCUCGGUAUGUAAAGCUCUAUCAGCAGGGAAGAAAGAAAUGACGGUACCUGACCAAGAAGCCCCGGCUAACUACGUGCCAGCAGCCGCGGUAAUACGUAGGGGGCAAGCGUUAUCCGGAUUUACUGGGUGUAAAGGGAGCGUAGACGGUAAUGCAAGUCUGGAGUGAAAUGCAGGGGCUCAACCCCUGAACUGCUUUGGAAACUGUAUGACUGGAGUGCAGGAGAGGUAAGUGGAAUUCCUAGUGUAGCGGUGAAAUGCGUAGAUAUUGGGAAGAACACCAGUGGCGAAGGCGGCUUACUGGACUGUAACUGACGUUGAAGCUCGAAAGCGUG